GCGUCGCAAUAUGUGAUCAUGGACGGCCGACUCUACAAAAGGUCAUUUUCCCUCCCUUUGCUCAGGUGCUUGGGGCCGACCGACGCCGACUAUGCUCUCCGAGAGGUUCACGAGGGAAUCUGCGGGAACCACUUGGGGGGCAAGUCCCUAGCCUUCAAGGUCCUGCGACAAGGCUACUGUUGGCCGACCAUGACGAAGGAUGCGGCAGAGUUGGUCCGGA
rnacentral:lncRNA from 1 species